rnacentral:pre_miRNA from 14 species
AAUACAGAGCACCAAGUUCCAUGCAAAUUUUAGAUAAACAAUCAAUAAUUUUUAGUAUAGGUAUGUCCCAUGCAAUAUUUGGGAGAUACUUAUACUAAAAAAAUUAUUGUCAUUGCUUAUCUGAAAUUCAAAUUUUAACUGGACAUCCUGUAUGUU